rnacentral:rRNA from 1 species
UACAGAGGGUGCGAGCGUUGUCCGGAAUUAUUGGGCGUAAAGAGCUUGUAGGCGGCUUGUCGCGUCGAAUGUGAAAUCCCGAGGCUCAACUUCGGGCUUGCAUUCGAUACGGGCAGGCUAGAGUUCGGUAGGGGAGACUGGAAUUCCUGGUGUAGCGGUGAAAUGCGCAGAUAUCAGGAGGAACACCGGUGGCGAAGGCGGGUCUCUGGGCCGAUACUGACGCUGAGGAGCGAAAGCGUGGGGAGCGAACAGG